rnacentral:rRNA from 1 species
CAAUAGCGUAUACUAACGUUGUUGCAGUUAAAAGCUCGUAGUUGGAUUUCUGUGUUGGUGAGGCGGCCGGCCAUUCGUGGUUGUAGCUAGUUAUCACCGGCGCAUCUUGUCACAAGCCACGCUGGCCUUAACUGGUUGGCGUUGGGGACUGACUCGUUUACUUUGAGAAAAUUAGAGUGUUCAAAGCAGGCUAUCGCCUUGAAUAUGUUAGCAUGGAAUAAUGAUAUAGGACUUUGGUUCUAUUUUGUUGGUUGUUCGAGAACCGAAGUAAUGAUUGAUAGGGACAGUUGGGGGCAUUCGUAUUUGUUAGUCAGAGGUGAAAUUCUUCGAUUUAACAAAGACGAACUAAUGCGAAGGCAUUUGCCAAGGAUGUUUUCAUUGAUCAAGAACGAAAGACAGGGGAUCAAAGACGAUUAGAUACCAU